rnacentral:ncRNA from 1 species
AACUCGAUAAAAUAGUCUUGUAACUUUGGUAAAGAGGUGCCUCCUCACAAAGGGAGUCACAAUGACCAGACCUAAACAACUAUUUACCAAAAAUACAUGUCUCUGCAAAGUUGUAAGAUCAUAUAUAGGGGCUAAUGUUUGCUCCUUAGCGAAAGGUUAAGGAGGUUGGUGACCUGAUGAUAGAGAAGUUGGUGAUUGAAGCCUUGAUGAAUGGCAGUUGUAACUACAACAAUCCUAAGGUAGUAAAAUUCGUUGUCAAGUAAGUUCCAACCCGCACGAAAAGGCGUAAUGAUACUU